rnacentral:rRNA from 1 species
CUACGGGCGGCUGCAGUAAGGAAUAUUGCGCAAUGGAGGCAACUCUGACGCAGCCAUGCCGCGUGCAGGAAGAAGGCCUUAUGGGUCGUAAACUGCUUUUAUUUAGGAAUAAACCCCCGAACGUGUUCGGGGCUGAAGGUACUAAACGAAUAAGCACCGGCUAACUCCGUGCCAGCAGCCGCGGUAAUACGGAGGGUGCAAGCGUUAUCCGGAUUUAUUGGGUUUAAAGGGUGCGCAGGCGGGCUAUUAAGUCAGUGGUGAAAUCCCGGGGCUCAACUCCGGAACUGCCAUUGAUACUGAUAGUCUUGAGUUUGGUUGAAGUGGGGGGAAUGUAGCAUGUAGCGGUGAAAUGCAUAGAUAUGCUACAGAACACCAAUCGCGAAGGCAGCUCACUAAGCCAAAACUGACGCUCAUGCACGAAAGCGUGGGGAUCAAACAGGAUUAGAUACCCUGGUAGUC